rnacentral:misc_RNA from 1 species
UUACCAUGUAAUAACCUUGUU